GGUCAGUGAUGAGUUGUAAAAGGUCUGAAGUCGAGAGCUCCGCCCCCUCCAGCUCCUCUGGUUCUCCCAGCCCACCUGCUCUGUUUCCCAGCAUGCUCUAGGUGUGUGUGUUGGGGCUGCAUGUGGGCUGAUACUGAAAGCUGUUCUUCUCUGUGUGCGUGUGAGAGAAACACAGCAUGACACACAGUAGACACAUCUGACAAACUUUCACAUUCUCACUUCAUCACACACACACACGCACACAGGAGGGCUGAGCUUCAGGGGGCGAGCGGCUCAUGAUCUCCAGUUUUCAAUCUGAGACC